CAGCAGCCGCGGGAAUACAGAGGGUGCGAGCGUUAAUCGGAUUUACUGGGCGUAAAGCGUGCGUAGGCGGCUUUUUAAGUCGGAUGUGAAAUCCCUGAGCUUAACUUAGGAAUUGCAUUCGAUACUGGGAAGCUAGAGUAUGGGAGAGGAUGGUAGAAUUCCAGGUGUAGCGGUGAAAUGCGUUGAGAUCGGAAAGAACACCAACGGCGAAAGCACUCUGCUGGGCCGACACUGACACUGAGAGACGAAAGCUAGGGGAGCAAAUGGGAUUAGAUACCCCUGUAGUCCCUGUCUCUUAUAC
rnacentral:rRNA from 1 species